AGCGGGUGUGGGACUGCGCGAAAUCCGGGGCGGGUUAGGAUUAGGGAAAGGUAAAGAGAGGAGAGGAGGCCGAAAGUAGAAAAGUAGGCCCAAGAGAAAUUGAGCAGUAAAAGAGCCUUUGGUUUAUGAAAUAAAGUAAAACAAAAGUCUGGACUGUGGUCUCCUGAUUCCUGGAGGGCAGUUUGAGUGACAGAGGACAGAAAUAAAGGAGGCAAAAUAUGAGCAGUGGUGGUCAUUCGCCAGAUGAACGAGACAGCCGAUAAAAACGAGAAAUUUAGAGAUUGGCAGAGUGGUCAGAAAAACAAAUUUAGAGCGGCGCGUGCUCUGCGGCCAGGAAUAGGGAAGGGGAUGUGUGCGCUUGAGACACAGAGCUGCUGCAAGAAAGGAAGCCUCCACUGACCCUGGCACUUGCUGCUGUGUAUCUGAAGCCUUGGUGACUAGUAGUUUGGAAGGCCUUGGGCCUCAGGGCAGUGGAAGAUUUGCCCUGAGCUAACAUCUGUGCCAAUCUUCCUCUAUUUUGUGUGUGGGUCACCACCACAGCAUGGCUGACAAGUGGUUCUUCAACAUUUUAUCAACCUUCCUGGAGCAUCUACCGAGUGUUGCACAAGGUGGGAAUCAAGGACCAUUAAGAAACCAUCUCUGCCUUCAAGCAACGUCUUCAACCAUUUUCCUAAUUCAAAGCACUGUGAAAGCAUCAGUUAACCCUGUGUUUGCCAUCUCUACUGAUGGAGAAAGGACAAACCAACUUGGUCCCCAUCUUAUCAUUAGAGAGCCUGAGAUUCACCUUUAUCCAUGCAAGACGUCCAGUUAGGACAGUAGAGAGGUGGACUUUGGAAUUUGAGGAACGUUGGUCCUAUCCCAGAAGCCAAGCCAGCACACCGUGACCUGCAACAGCUUAGCUUCCUGGAUAUCUAAGCAAAGGCAGAGAGGAAACUUGGGGUUAGGGAUUUUGGGCAGCUGAGGGCAGGGACCCCAGCAGAACAUCCUCUUAUCUCUAAGCGACUGUUACAGCCCAAUUUCCCCCCCUGGGGGAUCUGCCCCAGGGUCUGUCUACAGCAGAGUGAUCUAAGGCGUUAGGCCUGAAUUGUGUUUGAGACUUUAAAGAGGCUCACAGGUUCUUUUAAGCAGCAGGCUUAAUUGUUGUCUGUAAUUGAUGUGACAUAUGCCCCAGAGGCAUGCACUGAGGUCCAAUCGAAGACAUGGUUUUUAAAAAAUCGGAAUUAAUUAAUUAAAGAAGGAGCUACAUGGGGCUGUGAGUUAGUGCCAAACCCUGUAACCCUAAACCAGCCAACCCACCCAACCGGCCUCACCACCUGAGGAAUAAUCCCGAAGUUCUCACGGAGGUGGGAUCAGAGACCUGGGAUGCAGUGCAGGAAAUGGAGGCUGCAAGGGGGAAGGGUGGGGCUCAGGGUGG
rnacentral:lncRNA from 1 species